rnacentral:lncRNA from 1 species
UUUAAUGUACUACAGCAGGGAAGCCACUUGGUGACAAACACUAAUGUCUGCAAUGACUGGACCGGUAACACUACUGCUCGUUGAGUCAUGUGGGUCAGGUGGGGACAGCACUCGAAGGAAAAAGAAAACAUUAGCAGCCAAAUUAGCCAGUCUGCCUGUGGAAUGAAGGCUCCAGUUUUUGACCUCUAAUGAAAGAAGAAAGAAUACUCAUUGAGGUUUCAGCUGCUUGGGGCCAUUUAGGCAUGGAUUUUCUUCUGCCUCUGCCACCUGGAGACAGGAAGACCAACCCCUCCUGCCCUCCUCCUCCCUAGCCUAGCCAAUGUGAAGAUGACAAGAAUGAAGACGUUUAUGAUGAUCCACUUCCACUUGA